rnacentral:rRNA from 1 species
CANCNNUAUACAUGCAAGUCGAACGAGAAAGUUCCUUCGGGAGCGAGUAAAGUGGCGGACGGGUGAGUAACGCGUAGGAAUCUACCUUUCAGUGGGGGAUAGCUCGGGGAAACUCGAAUUAAUACCGCAUACACCCUUCGGGGGAAAGGGGGCCUCUCCUUGGAAGCUCUCGCUGUUAGAUGAGCCUGCGUGAGAUUAGCUUGUUGGUAAGGUAAUGGCUUACCAAGGCUACGAUCUCUAGCUGGUCUGAGAGGACGAUCAGCCACACUGGGACUGAGACACGGCCCAGACUCCUACGGGAGGCAGCAGUAGGGAAUAUUGGACAAUGGGGGCAACCCUGAUCCAGGCAUGCCGCGUGUGUGAAGAAGGCCUUAGGGUUGUAAAGCACUUUAAGUGAGGAAGAAAAGAUUUAAAUUAAUACUUUAAGUCCCUGACAUUACUCACAGAAUAAGGACCGGCUAACUCCGUGCCAGCAGCCGCGGUAAUACGGAGGGUCCAAGCGUUAAUCGGAAUUACUGGGCGUAAAGCGCGCGUAGAUGGUUUAUUCAGUUGGGUGUGAAAUCCCUGGGCUCAACCUAGGAACUGCAUUCAAAACUUAUAAACUAGAGUACGAAAGAGGAGAGUAGAAUUCAUGGUGUAGCGGUGAAAUGCGUAGAGAUCAUGAGGAAUACCAGUGGCGAAGGCGACUCUCUGGUUCGAGACUGACAUUGAGGUGCGAAAGCGUGGGUAGCAAACAGGAUUAGAUACCCUGGUAGUCCACGCCGUAAACGAUGAGAACUAGCCGUUGGA